rnacentral:rRNA from 1 species
UACGAAGGGGGGCUAGCGUUGCUCGGAAUCACUGGGCGUAAAGGGUGCGUAGGCGGGUCUUUAAGUCAGGGGUGAAAUCCUGGAGCUCAACUCCAGAACUGCCUUUGAUACUGAAGAUCUUGAGUUCGGGAGAGGUGAGUGGAACUGCGAGUGUAGAGGUGAAAUUCGUAGAUAUUCGGAGGAACACCAGUGGCGAAGGCGGCUCACUGGUCCGGUACUGACGCUGAGGUGCGAAAGCGUGGGGAGCGAACAGG